UACGAAGGGGGGCUAGCGUUGCUCGGAAUCACUGGGCGUAAAGGGUGCGUAGGCGGGUCUUUAAGUCAGGGGUGAAAUCCUGGAGCUCAACUCCAGAACUGCCUUUGAUACUGAAGAUCUUGAGUUCGGGAGAGGUGAGUGGAACUGCGAGUGUAGAGGUGAAAUUCGUAGAUAUUCGCAAGAACACCAGUGGCGAAGGCGGCUCACUGGCCCGAUACUGACGCUGAGGCACGAAAGCGUGGGGAGCAAACAGG
rnacentral:rRNA from 1 species